GGGGAUGUAGCUCAGUGGUAGAGCGCUCGCUUUGCAUGCGAGAGGCCCCGUGUUCGAUCCCCAGCAUCUCCA
rfam:Hymenolepis nana genome assembly, scaffold: HNAJ_scaffold0000111